AGAUGGAAGGAACCAGGGUCCUCAAAUCACCAUCAAACACCUGCACUGAUUUAUUACAUGAGUGAGAAAUGAGCCUCUAUUGUGUUAAGCCUCUGAAAUUUGGAAGUUGUUUCUAAGACCAUUUAACUGAGCCAAUCAACAUUGGUUUAGUGACCCUAAGAAUCCACACUGGCACUCAGUUUCAGUCUCAGCUGAGUACAUGCCUCUGAAAAGCAUCCUGUAAUGAACAUCAUCCUGAACGAUGCCCCUCCUCUUGAUUCCUUUAUCCAAACAACAUUAAGGGCGUAAAUUCUAUGAGAGCAUGGACUGUAUUUGUCAUACUUAUCACAGUGGAAUCUAUGGAGGCAGCAUGCACCCCUGGCAGUAAGAGUGGCCUCAUCAGGCUCCUUCUCCAGAACUGUACGCAGCAUCUCAGCAUCCAGCCACCACAACUUUGCCUUGAAAGUCAAAACGACUCCUGUAUCUGUGGGGUGCAGAAUACCAGGUUGAAAGAGCACCAUUUGGCCGCCAGGCAAUAGAUCAUCUCCUUUGUUCUGUUUAACCUGGAUCUCGGAGGGACAACCUCAGGAGGCUGGAGCAGGCUCCUCUUGAGCCCCCACUGGGAAAUCACCAGCUGCCAAACUUUCAAAUACCAGGUGUUCAGUCGUGACUGUCGGUGAUGCAUUUUUACUUUGUUUUGCUUUGUUUAUACCUCUUCUGACAAAGCACGAGGCUUUGGCUUUUUUUCAAAAAGGGAUUAAAAUAAAUUAUUGGCAUGUGUUUGAAUUUAAUAGUUAGACAGCAACACCUCCCAUCCCCACUGCCAAUAUACCCAUUCUGGAGAAACUGGAAUUCCUCCACACGAGGCUGACAGGAGACUCCAUGGGCUCUUGUCAAGAAUGUCUAUUUCAGUUCAUUUCCUUUCACUUCAUUUCUCUCCUUUCUUCCAAUAUGUUUUCUGCCAAACUCUGAGACAGGCUUUUGUGAUAUGUCAAUGAUCAGAGAGAAAAUCCUGCUCUCUAGUGCUCACUGUCUAGAGGGGAGGCAGAUAAACAGAGUGCCAUGAAACAAUGUGCUGGG
rnacentral:lncRNA from 9 species